UUUUCCUUUUCAUUUAGAUUUUACAUUUUAGAGGUUAUUAAUCAUAACAAAAUGGCAUGUAAAACUCAAAUUCAAAUAGAAAUGUAUAAGAAUAAAAUCAGUCAAGGCACAAUAUGCGAAAGUAUCAAUUUGGACUCGAGUAAUCUUUCAGAUUAUGUGAAUGUUCUGCGUAGUGUUCAAAAAAGUGUUAAUAUGGAACUAACAAAGAUCGUAGAACAAGAUAGAAUUGAUCAUGUUCCAAUAGAUGAGGAAGAUAUCGAAGGCCUUGAAGAUGAUAGUGAUGAUGAAGUUACUAAAUGCAACAGUAAAAGAAAAUUAUCAUCUGAAAAGAUUAAGAAAAAGGUUAAAAAGUAGGUCUGUAAAUCAUGUAUCAGUUUAAAUAUAAUAAACGCCAUAACCAACA